CUCCCGAGCUUGAAGCCAUGCCUCCUACUCGUUUAUAUGUUGCAGAUGAAUCAUGAGCUCAUCUCGGUUCAGUCUCGUGGGCAAAAAUUAUGUAAGUGUUUCAAUAUCACAAAAUGUUCGUUCCACUCCGUGUUAUUGAAAAGCUUGGGUUGUGAAGCAGCAGCUUCUUUCCUCUUACUUUGGCUCCAGAUCUAUGCAGAAUUACAGGGAUGAAAAUGGAGAGAAGCCUGAAGAAAAGAAGGUCCAGCGACAGGCCCAAAGAGGGAUCCAGCUCAAGGGGAGAUCUCAAGACCUUACACUAUCUUUGAGGCUAUGGAAAGCUCAUCAAAAAGGACCUAGCAUGACCGCACUCUAGAAGACUCAACAACCAACUGAAAGAGUCAGAGGCAGAUACAAUUUUUAAAUGAUGUAUUUUUCCUAUAAAAACCUCUUCCACA
ensembl:antisense Gm37892 predicted gene, 37892